CAGCCGCCGCGGGAAUACAGAGGGUGCGAGCGUUAAUCGGAUUUACUGGGCGUAAAGCGUGCGUAGGCGGCUUUUUAAGUCGGAUGUGAAAUCCCUGAGCUUAACUUAGGAAUUGCAUUCGAUACUGGGAAGCUAGAGUAUGGGAGAGGAUGGUAGAAUUCCAGGUGUAGCGGUGAAAUGCGUAGAGAUUUGGAGGAAUACCGAUGGCGAAGGCAGCCAUCUGGCCUAAUACUGACGCUGAGGUACGAAAGCAUGGGGAGCAAACAGGAUUAGAUACCCCCGUAGUCCCUGUCUCUUAUAC
rnacentral:rRNA from 1 species